CUGAGACAGAGAUCCUAAAUGACCAGGGUUUUGACACAGGUACUGUGACAGGGGUCAGACAGAGAUCCUAAAUGACCAGGGGUUUGACACAGGUACUGUGACAGGGGUCAGACAGAGAUCCUAAAUGACCAGGGGUUUGACACAGGUACUGUGACAGGGGUCAGACAGAGAUCCUAAAUGACCAGGGGUUUGACACAGGUAAUGUGACAGGGGUCAGACAGAGAUCCUAAAUGACCAGGGGUUUGACACAGGUACUGUGACAGGGGUCAGACAGAGAUCCUAAAUGACCAGGGGUUU